GUGGAUGACUUAAGUGGUGAAGUGCCUGCCUUGCAUGCAUGAGGACCUGAGUUCAGAUUCCCAGCAUCCAUA
rnacentral:tRNA from 1 species